GCCAUUUUUAUUAGUUUCAAUCUUGGUUUCAAUCGCGAAAUAAUUUUAGAAAAAUCGAUGUAUUUAGUGAAAGAAAAUUCAUUACGGCUACCUAGUUGAAACGACAAAAGCUCCAAAUGUUGAAAACUGUAUCGGGACGGCAAUGCGGGCUUGGCAUUCGAUAGACCACUUGCCGUGCUAUGUAUUAUGUCCGAUUUGAAGCGUGGCGGGAAAUACACCUACCUGGAUCUGGAUACCGGCUCGUGAAACAUGAACACACGGUUUUAGUUGACGGAUAUGGAAUGAAAAUGGGGUCGAAUUUUCCCGAAUCUUCACCGACUAUCGACAGUCGAUUCAUGGAAUUUUUCAGCCCAGAUGGCGAGGUUUUAGGUGACACAAAUUGUGUUCGGAUGUACGAGCUCGCUGUGUGAUCUGAGCUCACUUUGAGGGAUCUAGCGUACGUCGUAAAACUCGAGGUAAAACUUGUGCCACGAAAAUUUCCAACAUUCCAUCGGCUGCUGGUUCAGACGGAAUGGUCCGCAUGUGGAAUGCCGUAAAAAUGGUCCAGUUCGUUAUCACCGUCAUCAUCCGUCAAAAAUGGUCCAGGCCAAGUAAUGAAACAACAGGGGCAGUACCACCAUAUGAGCUCCACCACAACCAAUCAUACUCAGCGCACCAGAAGUUCCUCAGCGAUGACAAGCGGCUUUGAAGCGCCUACGAAUGUCGAUAUCUCGUGCUGCUGUUAUCGCCGGGUUACAAACGGUGCAUGCUACCUACUGAAGGAACCAAAAAAUAGGAAAAAUAAGGAUCUGCGCUAAGCUACCGAUUUGGCGAAGAAAUAAUAUGUAUAUUUUUACGAAGAUUAUUAAACUUACAAAUCCUU